GUGCUCGCUUUGACAGCACAUAUACUAAAAUUGGAAUGAUACAGAGAAGAUUAGCAUGACCCCUGCGCAAGGAUGACACACAAAUUUGUGAAGCGUUCCAUAUUUUU
rnacentral:snRNA from 1 species